AAGACUAUGUUUUCAAGAAUUAUUUCCAUAGUUUGUUAUUAAAAAAGUUUUUCUGACUGUGUAAGGUAUUAGAAACCUCAAGGAAAAAAUACAGUGUUUUUUUAUGACUAUGAAAUAACUUUUGAGUGUCGCUGUUUUGCAAGUGCUUGUUAUCACUGAUGAUUGUUUUCUUUCAUUUUGAGAAAGUGAGAUGAGAAAAACGCAGUCUGACUGGU